UACGUAGGGUGCGAGCGUUGUCCGGAUUUAUUGGGCGUAAAGAGCUCGUAGGCGGUUUGUCGCGUCGGCCGUGAAAUCUCCACGCUUAACGUGGAGCGUGCGGUCGAUACGGGCAGACUUGAGUUCGGUAGGGGAGACUGGAAUUCCUGGUGUAGCGGUGAAAUGCGCAGAUAUCAGGAGGAACACCAGUGGCGAAGGCGGCUCACUGGACCGAUACUGACGCUGAGGCGCGAAAGCGUGGGGAGCAAACAGG
rnacentral:rRNA from 1 species